AAAAACAUAACCUUUAGCCAAACAAAUAUUAAAGGCAACGCCUGCCCAGUGAGUAAUUAAACGGCCGCGGUAUCCUAACCGUGCAAAGGUAGCAUAAUCAUUUGUCUACUAAUUAUAGACCUGUAUGAAAGGCAAAAUGAGGGUCUAACUGUCUCUUAUAAUAAAUCAAUUAAACUGAUCUCCUAGUAAAAAAGCUAGAAUAACAGCAUAAGACCAGAAGACCCUGUGAAGCUUAAAUUAAACUAUUAAACCUUAUAAUAACUACUUUCGGUUGGGGCGACCUUGGAAAAAAAGAGAACUUCCAAGACCCAGCAUGGCUGACAAUUGAACCAAGUUACUCCAGGGAUAACAGCGCAAUCCUCUUCAAGAGCCCAUAUCAAAAAGAGGGUUUACGACCUCGAUGUUGGAUCAGGACAUCCUAAUGGUGCAGCCGCUAUUAAGGGUUCGUUUGUUCAACGAUUAAUAGUCCUACGUGAUCUG
rnacentral:rRNA from 1 species